UCUGUAUUGAUGAAACAUAUGUUGGACAUAGUCCUAAACAUUUUAGAGGAUUUCUAAGCACGUUUUGUACUUUUUAGUUUAACGUGUUAGAUCUUAGAUGUAAUGUUUUCAUUUUUUUUUUUUUCUGUUCGGAAUGAAUGCUCCUCGUAUAUGCCAACAGAGAGAGAACUUUAUAUAGGCGUAAGAGUUAUUUCGUUUUAAAAGUAACGCGUCGGUCAUGCACAAUAUGUGCACAAUAUGCACAGAAGCUUCUGCAUUUAGGGAUAACCAAAUAAUCAAAAUAUUACGAUCCAGAACUGCACCACUCUAAUGCAAAGUCAUUUCCAGCAGGAACUGAUGAGACCAACAAUCUCACCAAAAUGGCUGGGAAAGUUUUAGGGGGAGGAGCCACAGUGCCAAAAAAGCCUGGAGUUAGUGAUGUACUUGAGAAGAUGGAUCUGAAGAGAAAAGUGAGAUCACAAAGAAAUCUUUUUUUUCGUAUUGACAUGGUGGAAGGAUUAGCCACUCAGCAGUAUGAUACUGAACGUUGCCCAGGGUGCGCCAGGGGAGGCUCCUUCUGUGCACACACAUUCACACACUACGGACACUUUGGACACGCCAAUCAGCCUACUGCACAUGUCUUUGGACUGGGGGAGGAAACCCCCGCAGGACGGGGAGAACAUGCAAACUCCGCACACACAGGGCUGUGGUGGGAAUCGAACCCCCGACCCUGGAGGUGUGAGGCAAACAUGCUAACCACUAAUCCACCGUGCGCCCCAUCACAAACAAAUGGGAGAAAGCAGAAGCAGCACUGUGCCAGAUUUUCUGGAGCGCGAGGAAGAAAAAGAGGAGGAACGAUUACGAACUAAUGACCUCUACCAGCAACAGGGUCCUUGACCACUCUGAAGAGUGGUCAAGGGCCACACAAUAUUUUUUAAAUUUAAUUAUUUAUACGUUUCCAGACAGCAGAUGUUAUAUUUAUUAUCAAAAUGGUUAAACUUCUCUCCCAAAAGCAUGCCCAGAUGUACGUGUCAUGGAAAAAUCCCUCCAACCAAAGUAAUGAGAAAAAAAUAAAAAAUUUAAAAAUUAAAAACUUCCAGAGACCAGCAGCUAUGGAUGUCAAAAAAAGAGAAACUUUAUUUAAAACAAAUAAAGUGAGACAUUCUGCAGAAAGUCUGAAUUAUACACACACACACACACACACACACACACACACACACACACACACACACAAACAUGUCUUUUCUUUCUAAAAACAAACCAAUCCCCAUUGUCUUAAUGAAUUAUUCUUGUCUAUACGAUAUCUUACAUUUCUACCACCUUAAAGACUUUCUGGCUUUCAUCCCAGCUCAAUACACCAAAAAUAAAUGGUGUUUUCCAGGCCUCAGAGUCGCCUUAAUCGGAAGAGCGGUUUCGAGAAUUCGAGAAUUCAACUCUCGUACUGUUUCUUGUUGGGUUGGGGGUUUAGCUGCAAAGCUUAUGUAGAAUUCAUUCUAAAACUUGCCCUUUCAGUUGUCUCCUUCCCUCAAACAGCAGCACACUCGCAGCCAUGG